rnacentral:rRNA from 1 species
CCCUAUGGGGUGCAGCAGGCGCGAAACCUCUACAAUGCACGAAAGUGUGAUAGGGGGACUCUCAGUGCUCAAGCUCUGCUUGGGCUUUUGCCAAGAGUAAGUAUCUUGGCGAAUAAGUGGUGGGCAAGACCGGUGCCAGCCGCCGCGGUAAUACCGGCGCCACAAGUGGCAAUCACGUUUAUUGGGCCUAAAGCGUCCGUAGCCGGUUCUGUAAAUCCUUUGUGAAAUCGUGCAGCUUAACUGUACGGCGUGCAGGGGACACUGCAGGACUAGAGACCGGGAGGAGCUGAAAGUAUGCUAGGGGGACCGGUAAAAUGGGAUAAUCCCUAGUAGACUACCGAUGGCGAAGGCAUUCAGCCAGAACGGUUCUGACGGUGAGGGACGAAAGCCAGGGGAGCGAUCCGGAUUAGAUACCCGAGUAGUCCUGGCCGUAAACGCUGCGAGCAAGGUGUUGCGUAUCUUACAUGGAUGCGCAGUGUCGAAACGAAGGUGUUAAGCUCGCCGCCUGGGAAGUACGGUCGCAAGGCUGAAACUUUAAGGAAUUGGCGGGGGAGCACUACAAGGGGUGCGGCGUGCUGUUUAAUCUAAUUCAACGCAGAAAACCUCACUAGAAGCGACGGCAGGAUGAAGGUCAAGUUGAAGACUCUACCUGACGAGCCGAGAAGAAGUGCAUGGCC